GAGCACAUCUCUGGUAAACACAAGAUUUAAAGUGGAGCUUUUGCGUGUUUCUUUGUGGAGAAACUCAGUUUUACAGAUCUGUCCUUUAAAUCAACUAAUGGAUUAGACAGAAAGUUGAAGUUUAGUCAACUUUAUGGUAAUGAGCUAUGACGCCGUUCAACGGCAAAUGACCAGCAACCAAUCGGAACAUAGACGUCCUUCGCGCCGGCUGAUCCAAGAGAACAUAUGAUGUAAACUUUCGUUCCUACCAGAACAUUAAUUCUGAGAAAAUGGAGGAAAAGUUCAUCAUGGCCGUUGCUGGGUUCCCUAUCAUUUAUGAUAUGACUUU